rnacentral:rRNA from 1 species
GAUGAACGCUGGCGGCGUGCCUAAUACAUGCAAGUCGAGCGAACAGAUGAGGAGCUUGCUCCUCUGUCGUUAGCGGCGGACGGGUGAGUAACACGUGGAUAACCUACCUAUAAGACUGGGAUAACUUCGGGAAACCGGAGCUAAUACCGUAUAAUAUAUUGAACCGCAUGGUUCAAUAGUGAAAGACGGUUUUGCUGUCACUUAUAGAUGGAUCCGCGCCGCAUUAGCUAGUUGGUAAGGUAACGGGUUACCAAGGCAACGAUGCGUAGCCGACGUGAGAGGGUGAUCGGCCACACGGGAGCGUGGACACGGUCCUGACUCCUACGGGAGGCAGCAGUAGGGAAUCUUCCGCAAUGGGGGAAAGCCUGACGGAGCAACGCCGCGUGAGUGAUGAAGGUCUUCGGAUCGUAAAACUCUGUUAUUAGGUAAGAACAAAUGUGUAAGUAACUAUGCACGUCUUGACGGUACCUAGUCAGAAAGCCACGGCUAACUACGUG